rnacentral:rRNA from 1 species
CCGAGACUUUCGAGAAGGCGAUAUGAGCUCAAUUUUGAGGCCAGCUUGCUGGUACCCGGAUUGGAGGAAUGUUGUUCGUUUUGGAUGUGAAGGGGGGAAAGGUUUUCGGGCUCGUAUGGGUUCGAAUUGGUGUGGGGUGGCAGUUGCAUGCAACAUGUGCCUUCUGCCAAUUCGGUCCUGUGCGAGCUCACAWUCCCACUCUCGGCGUAAAAGUUGGUCAUCUAUCCGACCCGUCUUGAAACACGGACCAAGGAGUUUAUCGUGUGCGCAAGUCAUUGGGUGUUGAAAACUCAAAGGCGCAAUGAAAGUAAAGAAUCCGCAAGGAUACGACGUGUGAUCUGAGCAAUCACGAUUGCCUGGAGCAACAUGGCCCCAUUCUGGUCGCUUGCGACGGGGUGGAGGAAGAGAAAGWUGGUGAAUUAUUCCUGAGCAGGAUGAAGCCAGAGGAAACUCUGGUGGAAGUCCGAAGCGAUUCUGACGUGCAAAUCGAU